rnacentral:rRNA from 1 species
UAAGGAAUAUUGGUCAAUGGACGCAAGUCUGAACCAGCCAUGCCGCGUGGAGGAUUAAGGCCCUCUGGGUUGUAAACUCCUUUUAUCUGGGAAGAAAUCCAUUAAUUCUUUAGUGGUUGACGGUACCAGAGGAAUAAGCACCGGCUAACUCCGUGCCAGCAGCCGCGGUAAUACGGAGGGUGCAAGCGUUAUCCGGAUUCACUGGGUUUAAAGGGUGCGUAGGCGGGCCGGUAAGUCCGUGGUGAAAUCUCGGAGCUUAACUCGGAAACUGCCAUGGAUACUAUCUGUCUUGAAUAUUGUGGAGGUGAGCGGAAUAUGUCAUGUAGCGGUGAAAUGCUUAGAUAUGACAUAGAACACCAAUUGCGAAGGCAGCUCACUACACAGUAAUUGACGCUGAGGCACGAAAGCGUGGGGAUCAAACAG